rnacentral:rRNA from 1 species
AUUAGAUACCCUGGUAGUCCACGCCGUAAACGAUGUCGACUUGGAGGUUGUGCCCUUGAGGCGUGGCUUCCGGAGCUAACGCGUUAAGUCGACCGCCUGGGGAGUACGGCCGCAAGGUUAAAACUCAAAUGAAUUGACGGGGGCCCGCACAAGCGGUGGAGCAUGUGGUUUAAUUCGAUGCAACGCGAAGAACCUUACCUACUCUUGACAUCCAGAGAACUUUCCAGAGAUGGAYUGGUGCCUUCGGGAACUCUGAGACAGGUGCUGCAUGGCUGUCGUCAGCUCGUGUUGUGAAAUGUUGGGUUAAGUCCCGCAACGAGCGCAACCCUUAUCCUUUGUUGCCAGCGGUUAGGCCGGGAACUCAAAGGAGACUGCCAGUGAUAAACUGGAGGAAGGUGGGGAUGACGUCAAGUCAUCAUGGCCCUUACGAGUAGGGCUACACACGUGCUACAAUGGCGCAUACAAAGAGAAGCGACCUCGCGAGAGCAAGCGGACCUCAUAAAGUGCGUCGUAGUCCGGAUUGGAGUCUGCAA